rnacentral:snoRNA from 1 species
GGAUAAUGACGAUUUCAUGUGAUAAGGUCUCGUUCGUCGUAAUGGUGUGAUGAACUCACACCUUGCCGACCAUCCUAUUAUAUCACCACCCAUAAACUGAAUCC